GACGAACGCUUGCGGCGUGCUUAACACAUGCAAGUCGAACGGAAAGGCCCUGCUUUUGUGGGGUGCUCGAGUGGCGAACGGGUGAGUAACACGUGAGUAACCUGCCCUUGACUUUGGGAUAACUUCAGGAAACUGGGGCUAAUACCGGAUAGGAGCUCCUGCUGCAUGGUGGGGGUUGGAAAGUUUCGGCGGUUGGGGAUGGACUCGCGGCUUAUCAGCUUGUUGGUGGGGUAGUGGCUUACCAAGGCUUUGACGGGUAGCCGGCCUGAGAGGGUGACCGGCCACAUUGGGACUGAGAUACGGCCCAGACUCCUACGGGAGGCAGCAGUGGGGAAUAUUGCACAAUGGGCGGAAGCCUGAUGCAGCAACGCCGCGUGCGGGAUGACGGCCUUCGGGUUGUAAACCGCUUUCGCCUGUGACGAAGCGUGAGUGACGGUAAUGGGUAAAGAAGCACCGGCUAACUACGUGCCAGCAGCCGCGGUGAUACGUAGGGUGCGAGCGUUGUCCGGAUUUAUUGGGCGUAAAGGGCUCGUAGGUGGUUGAUCGCGUCGGAAGUGUAAUCUUGGGGCUUAACCCUGAGCGUGCUUUCGAUACGGGUUGACUUGAGGAAGGUAGGGGAGAAUGGAAUUCCUGGUGGAGCGGUGGAAUGCGCAGAUAUCAGGAGGAACACCAGUGGCGAAGGCGGUUCUCUGGGCCUUUCCUGACGCUGAGGAGCGAAAGCGUGGGGAGCGAACAGGCUUAGAUACCCUGGUAGUCCACGCUGUAAACGGUGGGUACUAGGUGUGGGGUCCAUUCCACGGGUUCCGUGCCGUAGCUAACGCUUUAAGUACCCCGCCUGGGGAGUACGGCCGCAAGGCUAAAACUCAAAGGAAUUGACGGGGCCCCGCACAAGCGGCGGAGCAUGCGGAUUAAUUCGAUGCAACGCGUAGAACCUUACCUGGGUUUGACAUGGAUCGGGAGUGCUCAGAGAUGGGUGUGCCUCUUUUGGGGUCGGUUCACAGGUGGUGCAUGGCUGUCGUCAGCUCGUGUCGUGAGAUGUUGGGUUAAGUCCCGCAACGAGCGCAACCCUUGUUCACUGUUGCCAGCACGUUAUGGUGGGGACUCAGUGGAGACCGCCGGGGUCAACUCGGAGGAAGGUGGGGAUGACGUCAAGUCAUCAUGCCCCUUAUGUCCAGGGCUUCACGCAUGCUACAAUGGCUGGUACAGAGAGUGGCGAGCCUGUGAGGGUGAGCGAAUCUCGGGAAGCCGGUCUCAGUUCGGAUUGGGGUCUGCAACUCGACCUCAUGAAGUCGGAGUCGCUAGUAAUCGCAGAUCAGCAACGCUGCGGUGAAUACGUUCCCGGGGCU
rnacentral:rRNA from 1 species